GAGACAGACGCUCCCAGGUGUUCUGUAUUCAGGUCACCUCUGGGUGCAGGGUGGCUGCUGCUCCCCUGGGCUCUGUGUCCCAGGUCCUGCGAUGCCUGACAAAGGCUGCAGCCAGAUCACUGGGGCACAUGCGAGGAGGAAACAGAAUGGACAGGCCGCAACAUGCCAAGCCACUAAAAGGAUUGACGCUUUAUUCUUCAGAGGAGAAAUACCAUUGUGGGGUCUACGGACCUCUAUCUAAGGCUUGUUAAAACAAAACAGAGAUGCUUAUGCUCUGGAAAGACGCCCGGGAUCCACUGGGCAGAAUGGCAAAGGAAAGAUCCCCAGCACGGAGCUCAGACAGAUGUCCUCGGCGGAGCUGAGUGCGGGGGUACAGGGUGUGGGGGUGCAUCAGUUGUGCUCUGACAGGUGCACAGGGUCCCCUUUCCCUUUGGCACCUCGGCUGCCUGUGCUUCUGGACCAACUGCCUGUUGAGAAAGCCUCUCUGUGUCCAGAAGUGAACUAUGAAAGGCCCUGAGUGGAUGGACUAUAUGCAAGGCACAGGAAGGAGGCCAAGCCCUCAGGAGUGGCAUCCAUGUGCAUUUGGGGCAGAGUGACGACUGGAAAAGACUGACCACGGCCCAGGCUCCCUGCCUUUCAGCUGCCAGUCUGCUGGGAAGUCACUUCCAUGAGGGUGGGGAGAGGUGAUGGCUAUUGACACCCAAGUUACACCUACCAAUGACCCAGUGGCUUCGGGCCUCACAGGCAGUGAGUGGACAUCUAGGCACCUGGAAUGCACCUCUAGGGCUCUGUGCCCGGGCUCUGAACAAGGAGAGAAGCCGCCGGCCCUCCUCCUGACCACUUCACCUCCGGCAGGAGACUAAUGAUGCACCUAAGUUAAUUCACUCGACUCUGGGACUAUGAGGCAGUUCAUCCACACGCUCCAAACUCCAGCUUAUUGUAGGAGACCAGUGCCUCGAUCUCAUGAGGUCAUCUCGACGCCUCAGCUGUAACCCUUGGAGAACCUGUGGUCUCUGCUCCUCUGCCUGCUGACAUGAUCAUCCCAGGUGCAAAACAGGCAUCGGAAACAAGAGGUGAAUUCUCCCCAUAUGACAGGAAAUUGGUGCAAAUGACCAGAGCCCCCCACCUCUGAGAUACGGAGUCAGAGUCGGAGCUACAAUGACGGAUGACAUCAGCAUCAAUGUCAGCAUCCCCUCCAGCAUCACCACCGUCUACCAGCAACAGGUCUAGCACGAUGCCUCUUCAUGCAAAUGCAUACUUAUCGUUGGUUCCAACAAAGUCCCUGGCACAUGGAUGUGGAAUUCCUUGGGUCCUCCAGGCCCCAGAGCAUGUCUCUGUCCCAGCAUUGUCACAGUGAAGGACAGUCCUCCUGAGUACCUCUCUCUCCCUCCAACACAAGCCCCUCAAAAGCAUCGAUCUCAAGCACCCAGUUCGUUGCCUGGCAUACGGCAGCCACUCAGGAACUGAGCCGAACGCAUGAGGGAAAGAAGAGUCAUAACCUGUUUUAGGGAAAUGAAGUGCUGGUACAGUGGCUUCCUUGAAAUUGUCACGAAGCUACUGAGAAAGAAAUCAACCUGGCAGGGUUUUGCUUUCUCAGUAAGAUGAAUUGCAUUCUUCUUUGCAAAGUCUCAUAAUACAUUAUUUCAUGUGGGUUUAACUUGUGAUGAAGGAGAGGGCCAUAGAAGCCUAUGUAUUUUUGUAAAGAUUUGUCAGAAUCUCAAGCUAGCAGCUGACUAUACACAGCUCAGUUCCUACUGGUGCUCUAACUGACAGGACAAGAGAGGAACUUUCUGACAAUAAGUAAGGCCAGAGGAGGCGCAGAUGUGGGUUUGAUUCCUCAGUUACAUGAAUUGCAAAGAAACCCCGUGGUAUAUGAGUGGUUCCCAGGUCUCUGUAAGCUUUCUUGUCAUGAAAAGGAAAACUUGAUUAUGGCUAAUAAAAUGCUCCCACUCAUACUGAAUGGGAAAAUGUAUCUGGAUUGCCAAGUCUGAUUUCAAGAGAUUUUUUUUAAAAAGAAAUAAUGUUUGUAACAUUCAUAAACUGUCACGUCACCUGAAAUUGCUACUUGCUGGGAUGAGAAAAUAAAUUGCAGUAGAAAUUAGCACAAAAAUGCAAAGAUGAUGUGCAGAAAGUUUUCUUAAGAAGAAUCAACAUCCUUUCAGCAGCCUCCCUUUCUAAAACUUUUGCAAUAAAGAGUUUUUUUUCCCCUUUUUAAAUUUCUACCCAGCUCUGCCUAAAUUCUAGGUAACCCUACAUCAGUGGCCCCUGGAGUAGGGAGGGUCUCUACCACAGCACUGUGGCCUGUGUGGUCAACCGGUGAUUGAAGAUCUCAUCAAAGCCACUCCGAGCCUCAUGCAUCUGGCUCCUGACUGCUAUUGAAAGCCCUUGGUGGCAGGUGGCCUGGAGAGCUCUCCACAGUGGACGACUGGUCGUGGAUUGGUGUGGAUUCAUCCUGUGUGGUCUCUUUGUCUUUCCAGAUGGAGAGGUCUGUGGUCCUUUUUCUAAGGCAGGGCUGACGUUGGGGCAGGGUGGCUUCUGAGGGUGAAGGAGGGCACCCACUCACCGUGGGGAUGACACGGUCACCUGGGCGUGGACGGUGAGAGGCAAGAACAGAGUCCGUGGUAGAGAAUCCUGGAGAAGGUUCACAACUACAGCCAUGCUGCGAGAAUCGGUUCUGUGGCUGUCCAGCAAUAAUGGAUGUAAACAUCCAGUUCAUCUACCAAAGGGAUCUUAAGCCUGGUGAUAGAAUGAAGGAACUCAUACUUGAAACAUGAACUGGGCAGCAGCAGUUAUCUGAGGGGUAGAAAUGCAAAUGCUUCCUCUCCACAGGGCGUGCACGGUGUGUGCUUGGAGGUGGCUUUCAAAUGUGGACGUAUAGAUAGUAGAAAUAGGCUGUGAGCAGCAACCCUGCAAGCCAUCUGAUCAAAAUGAAGUACGAUUAAGGCCGGGACAACCCAGGAGGCAGGUUCAUGCCCUGAUACUUGGUGCAGGUGCUACCCUUUGCUUAGAACCAGUUGGAGCUUUCUGUGUGGCAAACUUCCUUUUCUUCAAGAAACCACCUUGCUGCGCUUCUUUGUUGGACCAAACUGCCCCCGGCAUGGCCCCCCAGUCCCCCGAGUGGCUUCUGCCUCCUGGCCUGGCCCCGGCUCUGCCUCUUCCUGGAACUUGUGGCAAUUAGUGGCUGAGCAGAGACCUUGUGAGAGCAAUCGAUAGACAGAGGAAGCCAGAUGGAAAGGAGGCUUUGUCGUUGCUGUUGGACAACAGUGCCGAGGAGAAGGGAAUGUUGCAGGUUUGUUUCCUGUUCCUUCUCCACGUGCUGUGUGCCAAGCACAGAAAGCCUCAGUGACCAGCUACUGAAUUAACCAGAAUAUGAAUGAGAAGAAUGACAUUGGAGAAACAGCAGUGUGGCAGUUGGGGCACGGGAAGCAGUCCUGACCCCACUCUUAACUAGCCAUGCGCAAGUCCUGGGCCCUGGCUUCCUCAACACUGAGGCAGCAAAAGCAGAUUCAACAGUCACCACAACCCCUGUCGUGGCAGCAUUCUCUUUUCCUCACAUGGACAGAUGCUCACGUCGGUGACGAAGGCACUGAGGUGCCAAAGAGCUUCCCAGAACAUCAAGGGAAGACUGACUGACAGCUGGUAGAAUAAGUGACAAAUAUCCCUUUUCUUGGAAGACAAUUUAUGCGUGCUGAAGUGGGAGAAAUGUAUUACUAUGAACGCUGUCUUACUCAACUCUGUUGCAUAGCUCAGAAUUCAGUACAGGUAGAUUUAAAAUAGUCUUACAUACAGAGCAGUUUAAAAAGUAUUGUGGAUUUCUGAGUGUCCAGGUUGGAUCCUUGACACUUAAGCACAUCCACUUCUGUUAUGGCUCCCUCUGGCUACAUAAGCUUUGGUGAUUUCUUAAUGACCAAGUGAGUAGCUUGUAAGCAAGGCUGAGAAACAGGAAGAAGUCCUCUUUGGCCAUCUGGUAUAUUGAUUCAAGUGAACACCACUCACUGGUCACCUGCGGACCAGAUGUGGCCUGCAGGUGUUUCAUUUCGCCAAAAGAAAUAUUUUUCAAAUUGUAAUGGGUUGUCAACAUUUAAAAAUCAUAUUUUUAUAUGGAAAUAUGGAUUUAGUACUUCUGCUGAAAUACUGGAAGAACUGGCAAUCUAACAAUUUCUGAAUGGCAAUGACUGACCAGAGCUGAGUCACAACGGUUCCUGUCAGAGACCGGGGGUUCUCUCCAGUGGCCUCCGUUAUAUGACACAAAGAGGGGUUCACUCAUUUCCAUUCCUUUCUGGCUGCAGUGGGCACCUGCGUUUGCCACCUUUCUCUUAAACAACAAGGAAUUGCUGAAGCAGAAAUGCACAGCCAGGGAAGCAGCUGAUUUUCUCUCAUCUUUUUCCUCCUCAUUAGCAUCAAUAAUUAAGUUUGGGACUGAUUCUUUUUAUGUCUUCAUAGCUAAAGUAAAAACUUUUGUUAGGAGCUAGUAGAUACUUCCCACCUCUUCUAAUUCAUUUUACUAAGCAUUAAGAUAACAUUCCUGGAUGGGCACGGUGGCUCCCACCUGUAAUCCCAGCACUCUGGGAGGCUGAGGCAGGU
rnacentral:lncRNA from 1 species